rnacentral:rRNA from 1 species
GGGAGGCAGCAGUAGGGAAUCUUCCGCAAUGGACGAAAGUCUGACGGAGCAACGCCGCGUGAGUGAUGAAGGUUUUYGGAUYGUAAARCUCUGUUGUUAGGGAAGAACAAGUACCGUUYGAAUAGGGCGGUACCUUGACGGUACCUAACCAGAAAGCCACGGCUAACUACGUGCCAGCAGCCGCGGUAAUACGUAGGUGSCMMGCGYYSUCCGGAAUUAUUGGGCGUAAAGSGCKCGCAGGCGGUUUCUUAAGUCUGAUGUGAAAGCCCCCGGCUCAACCGGGGAGGGUCAUUGGAAACUGGGGAACUUGAGUGCAGAAGAGGAGAGUGGAAUUCCACGUGUAGCGGUGAAAUGCGUAGAGAUGUGGAGGAACACCAGUGGCGAAGGCGACUCUCUGGUCUGUAACUGACGCUGAGGMGCGAAAGCGUGGGGAGCGAACAGGAUUAGAUACCCUGGUAGUCCACGCCGUAAACGAUGAGUGCUAAGUGUUAGGGGGUUUCCGCCCYUUAGUGCUGCAGCWAACGCAUUAAGCACUCCGCCUGGGGAGUACGGUCGCAAGACUGAAACUCAAAGGAAUUGACGGGGGCCCGCACAAGCGGUGGAGCAUGUGGUUUAAUUYGAAGCAACGCGAAGAACCUUACCAGGUCUUGACAUC